rnacentral:rRNA from 1 species
CGCUGGCGGCAUGCUUUACACAUGCAAGUCGAACGGCAGCGCGGGCUUCGGCCUGGCGGCGAGUGGCGAACGGGUGAGUAAUAUAUCGGAACGUACCCAAGAGUGGGGGAUAACGUAGCGAAAGUUACGCUAAUACCGCAUACGAUCUAAGGAUGAAAGCAGGGGAUCGCAAGACCUUGUGCUCCUGGAGCGGCCGAUAUCUGAUUAGCUAGUUGGUGGGGUAAAGGCCCACCAAGGCAACGAUCAGUAGCUGGUCUAAGAGGACGACCAGCCACACUGGAACUGAGACACGGUCCAGACUCCUACGGGAGGCAGCAGUGGGGAAUUUUGGACAAUGGGGGCAACCCUGAUCCAGCAAUGCCGCGUGAGUGAAGAAGGCCUUCGGGUUGUAAAGCUCUUUUGUCAGGGAAGAAAAGGCUGUGGCUAAUAUCCACAGCUGCUGACGGUACCUGAAGAAUAAGCACCGGCU